AUUGAACGCUGGCGGCAGGCCUAACACAUGCAAGUCGAACGAGUGGCGGACGGGUGAGUAAUGUCUGGGAAACUGCCUGAUGGAGGGGGAUAACUACUGGAAACGGUAGCUAAUACCGCAUACCAUCGGAUGUGCCCAGAUGGGAUUAGCUAGUAGGUGGGGUAAGGGCGCACCUAGGCGACGAUCCCUAGCUGGUCUGCUAGGAUGACCAGACAAACUGGAACGGAGAAACGGUCCAGACUCCUACGGGAGGAAGCAGUGGGGAAUAUUGCACAAUGAGCGCAAGCCUGAUGCAGCCAUGCCGCGUGUAUGAAGAAGGCCGUCGGGUUGUAAAGUACUUUCAGCGGGGAGGCGUUACCCGCAGAAGAAGCACCGGCUAACUCCGUGCCAGCAGCCGCGGUAAUAC
rnacentral:rRNA from 1 species